AUUCGAUUAAGACAUGCGAGUCGAGAGUCGUAAUGGACUCGGCGCACUGCUCAGUAACACGUGGAUAACGUACCCUAAAGUGGAGCAUAAUCUCGGAAAACUGAGGAUAAUACUCCAUAGAUCAUGAAAUCUGGAAUGAUUCAUGGUUCGAAGUUCCGGCGCUUAAGGAUCGGUCUGCGGCCUAUCAGGUAGUAGUGGGUGUAACGGACCCACUAGCCGAUGACGGGUAUGGGCCUUGAGAGAGGGAGCCCAGAGAUGGAUUCUGAGACACGAAUCCAGCCCCUACGGGGCGCAGCAGUCGCGAAAACUUCACAAUGGAGGCAACUCCGAUGAGGGAAUUCCUAGUGCCAAUGCAUUUUGUGUUGGCUUUUCUUCAGCGUAGAUAACUGAUGGAAUAAGGGCUGGGUAAGACGGGUGCCAGCCGCCGCGGUAAUACCCGCAGCCCAAGUGGUGGUCGAUAUUAUUGAGUCUAAAACGUUCGUAGCCGGUUCAAUAAAUCUCUGGGUAAAUCGGAGGGCUUAACCUUCCGAAUUCCGGAGAGACUGUUGAACUUGGGACCGGGAGAGGCAAGAGGUACUUCUGGGGUAGGGGUAAAAUCCUGUAAUCCUAGAAGGACCACCGGUGGCGAAGGCGUCUUGCUAGAACGGAUCCGACGGUGAGGGACGAAGCCCUGGGUCGCAAACGGGAUUAGAUACCCCGGUAGUCCAGGGUGUAAACGCUGCAGACUUGGUGUUGGGAACCCUUCGGGGGUGCUCAGUGCCGGAGAGAAGUUGUUAAGUCUGCUACUUGGGGAGUAC
rnacentral:rRNA from 1 species